rnacentral:rRNA from 1 species
UAAUACGUAGGUGGCAAGCGUUGUCCGGAAUUAUUGGGCGUAAAGCGCGCGCAGGCGGUCUCUUAAGUCUGAUGUGAAAGCCCCCGGCUUAACCGGGGAGGGUCAUUGGAAACUGGGAGACUUGAGUGCAGGAGAGGGAAGCGGAAUUCCAUGUGUAGCGGUGAAAUGCGUAGAGAUAUGGAGGAACACCAGUGGCGAAGGCGGCUUCCUGGCCUGUAACUGACGCUGAGGCGCGAAAGCGUGGGGAGCAAACAGGAUUAGAUACCCUGGUAGUCCACGCCGUAAACGAUGAGUGCUAAGUGUUAGGGGGUUUCCACCCCUUAGUGCUGCAGCUAACGCAUUAAGCACUCCGCCUGGGGAGUACGGUCGCAAGACUGAAACUCAAAGGAAUUGACGG